UACAGAGGUCCCUAGCGUUGUUCGGAUUCAUUGGGCGUAAAGGGUGCGUAGGCGGCGCGGUAAGUCGGGUGUGAAAUUUCGGAGCUUAACUCCGAAACUGCAUUCGAUACUGCGGUGCUUGAGGACUGGAGAGGAGACUGGAAUUCAUGGUGUAGCAGUGAAAUGCGUAGAGAUCAUGAGGAAGACCAGUGGCGAAGGCGGGUCUCUGGACAGUUCCUGACACUGAGACACGAAGGCCAGGGGAGCAAACGGG
rnacentral:rRNA from 1 species